UACGGAGGGGGCAAGCGUUGUUCGGAAUUAUUGGGCGUAAAGAGCGUGUAGGCGGCCAGGUAGGUCUGCUGUGAAAACUCGAGGCUCAACCUCGAGACGUCGGCGGAAACCAUCUGGCUAGAGUCCGGAAGAGGAGAGUGGAAUUCCUGGUGUAGCGGUGAAAUGCGCAGAUAUCAGGAGGAACACCAAUAGCGAAGGCAGCUCGCUGGGACGUUACUGACACUAAGGCGCGAAAGCGUGGGGAGCGAACAGG
rnacentral:rRNA from 1 species